UGCCAGACUCCUACGGGAGGCAGCAGUGGGGGAUAUUGCACAAUGGGGGAAACCCUGAUGCAGCGACGCCGCGUGUGGGAAGACGGCCCUCUGGAUUGUAAACCACUGUCCCCAGGGACGAAGAUGACGGUACCUGGGGAGGAAGCACCGGCUAAAUACGUGCCAGCAGCCGCGGUAAUACGUAUGGUGCAAGCGUUAUCCGGAUUUACUGGGUGUAAAGGGAGCGCAGGCGGCACGGCAAGCCUGAUGUGAAAGCCCGCGGCCCAACCGCGGGACUGCAUUGGGAACUACCGGGCUGGAGUGCCGGAGAGGUAGGCGGAAUUCCUAGUGUAGCGGUGAAGUGCGUAGAUAUUAGGAGGAACACCAGUGGCGAAGGCGGCCUACUGGACGGUGACUGACGCUGAGGCUCGAAAGCGUGGGGAGCAAACAGGAUUAGAUCCCCGAGUA
rnacentral:rRNA from 1 species